CUAGCGACAGGCCUAACACAUGCAAGUCGAGGGGCGAGCACAAGGAGCAAUCUGAGGUGGCGACCGGCGCACGGGUGAGUAACACGUAUGCAACCUGCCUGUAAGCGGGGAAUAACCCGUUGAAAGACGGACUAAUACCGCAUAAUACUAAAUUACUGCAUGGUAAUUAUUUAAACAUUUAUGGCUUACAGAUGGGCAUGCGCAUGAUUAGCUAGUUGGAGAGGUAACGGCUCCCCAAGGCAACGAUCAUUAGGGGUUCUGAGAGGAAGGUCCCCCACACUGGUACUGAGACACGGACCAGACUCCUACGGGAGGCAGCAGUGAGGAAUAUUGGUCAAUGGACGAGAGUCUGAACCAGCCAAGUCGCGUGCAGGAAGAAUGUCCCUAUGGAUUGUAAACUGCUUUUGCAGGGGAAUAAAGUGCAUCACGUGUGAUGUUUUGUAUGUACUCUGCGAAUAAGGAUCGGCUAACUCCGUGCCAGCCGCGGC
rnacentral:rRNA from 1 species